GACGAACGCUGGCGGCGUGCCUAAUACAUGCAAGUCGAGCGGACAGAUGGGAGCUUGCUCCCUGAAGUCAGCGGCGGACGGGUGAGUAACACGUGGGCAACCUGCCUGUAAGACUGGGAUAACUUCGGGAAACCGGAGCUAAUACCGGAUAACACCGAGGACCUCAUGGUCCUUGGUUGAAAGAUGGCUUCGGCUAUCACUUACAGAUGGGCCCGCGGCGCAUUAGCUAGUUGGUGAGGUAACGGCUCACCAAGGCGACGAUGCGUAGCCGACCUGAGAGGGGGAUCGGCCACACUGGGACUGAGACACGGCCCAGACUCCUACGGGAGGCAGCAGUAGGGAAUCUUCCGCAAUGGACGAAAGUCUGACGGAGCAACGCCGCGUGAGCGAUGAAGGCCUUCGGGUCGUAAAGCUCUGUUGUUAGGGAAGAACAAGUACCGUUCGAAUAGGGCGGUACCUUGACGGUACCUAACCAGAAAGCCACGGCUAACUACGUGCCAGCCGCCGCGGUAACAC
rnacentral:rRNA from 1 species